rnacentral:rRNA from 1 species
UCGCCUACAUGAAGCUGGAGUUACUAGUAAUCGCAGAUCAGAAUGCUGCGGUGAAUGCGUUCCCGGGUCUUGUACACACCGCCCGUCACACCACGGAAGUUGGGGGCGCCCGAAGCCACUUAGCUAACCCUUUUGGGAAGCGAGUGUCGAAGGUGAAAUCAAUAACUGGGGUGAAGUCGUAACAAGGUACC